CAGUCGUACCGGCGGGUAAUCAGCCUUUUGAGUGUGAUUAUGUGGAUUGUGAGGAGUUUAAUCACCCUCAUGUUUUGCAUAUUCGUGCUCUUGGGUGUACUUGCCCGUGUGGUAGGUUAACAUCAAUUUCGGACGUCAUAAAAUGACUGGAGGAAUGUAGCUUCGA
rnacentral:rRNA from 1 species